AGGGAGNCUAUAUGCAGUUCGAGCGGAAACGACACUAACAAUCCUUCGGGUGCGUUUAAUGGGCGUCGAGCGGCGGACGGGUGAGUAAUGCCUAGGAAAUUGCCUUGAUGUGGGGGAUAACCAUUGGAAACNAUGGCUAAUACCGCAUGAUGCCUACGGGCCAAAGAG
rnacentral:rRNA from 1 species